UACGUAGGGGGCUAGCGUUGUCCGGAAUCAUUGGGCGUAAAGAGCGUGUAGGCGGUCCGGUAAGUCCGCUGUGAAAGUCGGGGGCUCAACCCUCGAAUGCCGGUGGAUACUGUCGGGCUAGAGUCCGGAAGAGGAGAGUGGAAUUCCCGGUGUAGCGGUGAAAUGCGCAGAUAUCGGGAAGAACACCCGUGGCGAAGGCGGCUCUCUGGGACGGUACUGACGCUGAGACGCGAAAGCGUGGGGAGCGAACAGG
rnacentral:rRNA from 1 species